rnacentral:lncRNA from 1 species
GGCAUAUUUAACAACGCAAAGUUGCUAGGAGUUGGUACCAGCGUUUGGGAGGUAGAGGUGGCGCUCAUGCAUAUUUGAGACAACAUCUGGAUGGUUGGGGAGAACGGUGAUGCCACACUCAAUCAGAAACUAUGCUACUGCUGAAGAGGUAUAUUGAGCCCUGCCUGGUUAACCUCCAGUGAGGUUAUUAGAGAAUUGGGAGAGGCUCAAAUCAGCAUCCUGCACCUAGUUAUCAAACCAUUGUGAAGUCUUGAUUCCUGGAUGGCCAGAAAACUUGUCAUUGGUCAAGAGCAACAUUAAGAUCUGCCUGUUACUCAUACUGAUGCUUCCUGCCCAGCAAGUUCAUCAGAGGGCGAGGAUGAAUUACGGUUGCCAUGAAUGUCCUUGUGAGGCAGUUGGGAAGCCUUGGCUGGAUUGUGAAGGAUAUUUGAAAAGUAUUUUAGAGUCCACCAGAUCAUCCAUGUGAGUGACCAUGCAGCAAAAGAAGGAGGGUCCUCUCAGUGAUUAAGGAUUAUGAAGUAUUAAUUCUUCCACUGAUAUCUCAAAAGGUGAUCUGGACAAAGGAACAGGUAUCUCAGAUCUUGGGACACCCAGCACGUGACAAAAACAACAGCAGACCCUGGUGCCUGGGAGGACUUCAUGGAUCCAGCAGCAACCUGGAGUGGUGCUCCUCUGAAGAAAUCCUACUCGGAUGGAUAUAAUACAACCUGCUAAGUGUCCUAGCACUUAGCAGGUUGUAUUAUCAUUGUCCGUGUCUAUGGCUCUCGUCUACCAGACUUUAAAUUCCUUAAGGGCAAGGACAGUGCCUUACUCAUCUUUGUAUUCACAGUGCCUAAUCCGGUGCACAUUGUAGGCCUCAUUAAAUGUUUGUUGAAUGAAAAAAUGAAUCAUCAACAGACAUUAAUUGGGCGCCUGCUCUGUGAUCUCCAUGGGCUCAGCUUGUCCCCGCCAGUUGCCAACAACGUCCAAGCUCUCUUCAGAAUGCUUACUCCUGAAGCUUAUUCCUGUCUUCUAAUUCUUUUGUUGAGGACUUUUCUGUGUAGUGCAAUGAUAGCAAAUACACUUCAUCUCAAGUACCAUCUCCAAUUGAUUGAUAAUGCCUGCCCUGAUUAUGUUUUAUAACAAGAUUCUGAAACCAGGUCUUAUCUCAGUGUGAAAGACAUUUAUAACUAUUUAGUGAUGUCUGCUGAGGGUCGGAGAAGGGGGAGUAGCAGCACAAGUGCCUCAUAUGUCAUAUUUGCUACUCUGUUUUCUAUGAAAUACUUCAUUUCUAUGCCUGCAUUUUGGUCUUAGCUACUUGCUGAUGUUGCAUGGCUGUUGCUGCUACUGUAAUUGCUGCUAAUUGCUCCCUGGGUUGGACCAGAGUGCUCAUUGUCUGAACAGAAACCUCAUCCUCACAGUCUGAGGUUUGCUCCUGUGGCUGAUAUUUAAAGUUUUCCCCUUUCAACUUUACUCCAGCUAUCCCCUUACCUGCACUGACAGGUAAUCCUCCACCGUCCUGUUCACCUCUCACCAGGUUCAUAUUUUCUUUAUCUUAUUUAUUGUACUUAAUCAUUAUUUUGUGAGAAGCUUUUCUGAUUGUAGAUGUGACAACCAGAAUACAAGUUAAAACCACUUA